GGGUUACAACACACAACAACUUUUGGAUUGAGCCUUCUCUGCUGCAGCAGCAGCAGCAGCAGCUGAAAGGAAGAAACCAGGGGAAAUAAUAGAGAAAGGAGAAAAUUAAUGAGGGAAUACAAUGUGUUUGAAAAACUCUUAUUUUCUGCUUUAAAAAAACUAAACAAGUUAGGUAGUUAUUUUGGAAAAAAAUACACAUGACAUUUUAGGCUGAAACGUGACAGGUUUUGGCCCGAAACGUUGACCUUAGUUUUUUUUUUCCAUAGAUGCUGCCUGGCCUGCUGAGUUCCUCCAGCAUUUUGUGUGCUUUGCUCGGAUUUCCAGCAUCUGCAGAGUUUUUCUUAUGUUCCAGGGUUGAGUGAAGAACCAAUGAAAUACCACCUGCAAGGCGUUUCUUAGACAGGAGAUGAUAUGUUUCAUCACCAACCUCUCAAAGCAUUUCAUCACAUUGGAUGUCAUACCCAAAAGAAUUCCCAAUGAUCCAGAAACAAUAGUCCCUGCUCCACUUCCUCAGCCAUUCACUCAUCGGUACUAUCAUCCUAUUCCUGCCUUGACUAGAACAUGGUACUGGGAGUAAUCCGGAGAUUACUAGCUUGGAGGAACUGUUCUUCAGCCUUUUCUUGAAUUCCCUGUAGUCACUGUGCAGGAUCUCUUCCUAUGUCUUUGGUGCCAAUGUGCACCACUCCCUCUGGCUGCUCCUUCUCGAGAAUCUUCUGCAGCCGCUCUAAGACAUCCUGAAUCCUAACAGCUCAGAGGAAACACAUCAUCCUAGUGUCUUUCAUGGCCACAGAGUCUCCAUCCGUCCCCCUAACUAUAGAGUCUCCUAUCGUUAUUGCUCUGCCUGACUUAACCCUUUCCUGCUGAGAUUCAGAGCCGGCCUGGCUGCUACUGCUAUGCCAUGAUCAGUCAUCCCUACCCAGCAGUAUCCCAAGGGGUAUACUUGUUGAGGGGAAUGGCCACAGGGGGAAUAUUGCACUGCCUGCUUACUUCCCUUACUCUCCUUGUGCUUACCCAUCUACUAUGUGAAGCCUGCAUCUGGGUGUGAUCACUUCAGUAAAAGACUCAUCUAUGAUGUUUUCUGCCUCCCAGAUGGUCCUAAGUAUAUUCAGCUCCAGCUCCAGUGCCAUGACCUUGAUAAUCAGGAGCUAAAGUUGGGUGCACUUCCUGGAGAAGUAUGUCACCAGGGAGCCUAUUUGUACCCUGAAAUCUCACAUCUCACAGGAGGCCCAUCCAACUGCCUUAACUACUAUUCUGCCUACACUUGUUAUAUCUUGAAUUUCUAAAGCUUAAGUUCUAGUCUGCAUCUGUCUGGAUACCAAAAGGAACAAAGAAAUAGAGGGUAGGUAAUUAUUGGCUUUAUACUCUAUCUGGUUAGUUUUUAGCCCAAGCCUGUUUAGCCAAAGCCUGGCCACUCUAGCACUAUCCACUCCAGCAAUGGCCACUCCACUUACAUCUCAUUUCUUUUUAUUGGCCCCUGCUGAAUGCCUAAGAGAUCGUUAUAUUUGCAGCCCUUCGAAAAGUUCUGAAAAGCACUGAGCAUUUUUUAAACCUCUCCUGGUUAAUUGAGUUACUGUCAUCUUCCUGUCAGCUCAAACCAGUCUGUCCAUUCUCCACUGACUUCGCUCAUUAACAAGGCACUUUUGGCCACAGAAAUGCAAUUCUCUGUAAACUCUAGAGACUGCUGUGCGUGAAAAUCCCACAAAAUCAGCAGAUUCUGAGUUACUCAAACCACCCUAUUUGGUACCAACAAUCAUUCCACAGUCAAAGUCAUUUAGAUCACAUUUCUUCCCCAUUCUGAACCUCUUGACCACACCAGCAUGCUUUAAUGCAUUGAGUUGCUGCCAUAUGAUUUGCUGAUUAGAUAGUUGCAUUAAUGAGGUGGCGUACUAAAGGUGAACCCAAUAAAUUGGCUACUGAGUAUAGAUGUGUAAAUUAAAGAUAUGUAAGAGUGAAUGACAUUAUACUAAAAUUUUGUAAGUUUAUCAUUCAUAAAUCGAGGAAUACUUGUAAUCUUGUAAUAAUAAUGAUGGCACCAAAAAUAAAAGGAAUAUGUGAAUGGUGGAGAGGAAUUUGCCCACUAUACACCUACCUGAGCCCAACCUUCCUCUGUGAUUUUUUCCGCUGUGUGAUUUUUUUCCCCUGUCUGUAUUUUUUACUCAGUGGAUGUUAUUGUGAUUCCAUGGUUGGGAUUUCCCCAAACACCAAUGACCAUGUUGUUUCAAAUUGUAUCUUCACCCACCAUUAAAACUCCAUUGAUUUAUGUAUGAUCUCCAUAGAUUAUCCAAAUGUAGAGAUUGCUCUGAAGUAUUUGACACCAUUUAGGUGACUGUUGAAAUACUAUAAUUCAUUUUCACUCAGUAAUUCUGCUUCAAUGUAUUAAAAAUCAAGCCAAUUUUCUUCAAGUUAGAAUUCCAGGUUUUGGUGCCAAAUUCAUGAUAUUGACUCAUUUGGAGUCCAAUGUAAGAAUGUUAUUUUAACAUCAUGGAUGCUAUAAUUGAAUACAAAGAAUAGACAAUUUGCAAGCAUGGGAAUCUCAAUGUUAUAAUCAAACAAUGAGUUCAAAACAAUGAAAUAUUGUAACAUAUAUCUAUUUUCCUCUCCCCCUUUUAUACUUUAUAUGAUUAUUUACCCAUUUCUAUCCUCGUGUUUUCCAUCGUCAAGGCCCCUCAUAAUCCAGGACAUGCCCUCUUCUUAUUACUACCAUCAGAGUAGAGGUCCAGGAGACUGAAGCCUCACACUUAAUGUUUUAGGAAUAGCUUCUUCCAUCAGAUUUUUGAGCAGUCCAUGAACCCAUAAACACUACCUCACUAUUUUGCUUUCAUUUUGCACCAUUUAUUUAUUAUAUAUUCUUACUGUAAUUUAUAGUAAUUAAUAAUGGUGGAGAAGAUGCCUGAAACAUUUCUGCUCCUAUGUCUUCUGGUCUAAUUUUAUGCCUUGCACUGUACUGCUGCUGCAAAAUGACAAAUUUCAUGACAUGUCAGUGAUAAUAAAGCUGAUUCUAAAAUCUAAACUUAAAAUACUAAUAAUCUAAUAACCAUUAAAUCACCACAUCUCCACUGGGAGAUAGUAACUAAGAACUUCCAAUCAGUCUUGUCAUUUGAAUCAAACUCAUUGUAAAUCUGCACAGUAGCCUGCAAGUUCACCAAAAACUCAAUAUAGAAUAAGCUACAGUACAUGGCACUAUCAACAUUUAGUCUGAACAAUGGAAAACUGUGUGACCCUCCAAAUAGCAUGGGUUCUUGACAGUACAGACAGCUGAUGGAUCUUGGAACUCACCUUGCUCUGAACCUCCCAGGGUUUGGUAAUGGCUGACAAGUCACAUGCUGUCAUCAUCAUGGCCCUGAAUGUAACAAGACCAAAUAUUAUCAGUUAUUCACACAGUUUUUCAACAUAACCGUAACUUCGAAAGUCUGUAACUUCCCUUUGGACUUGGAGGCAAUUUGAUGUGGCAGAACCAAGGCAAAGCAAGGCAGCAGGCCCUCACUCUCAGACCUGAGGUGUGAACGGUUUAAGUGCCAUUCCAAUUUGAGGAGCCAGGAUCCAGACUCCAGAACCCGAUGCUUGGAUGAUGAUUUAAGUGCCGUGCCUAAUUCAAAAGGUCGGAUACAGGCCAAAUUGAAGCAGUAGGGUCCACGCCACAGAGCGUAUCAAAGUGACUGAACCCAAUGUUUGGAUGGCAUUUUAAGGGCCGGGCCAAAUUGGAAAGGUCGGAUACAGGCCAAAUUGAGGUGGUGGGGUCCAGUCUCCAGAGCAUAUUGAAGUGACAGAACCUGAUGUUCAGAUGACAAUCUAAGUGCCAGACCAAAUUGGAAAAGUUGGGGUGUCGGGGCCCGAGGUGAGGGAUGGGCUGGUUCAGUUCGCUGCUCUGCCUUGCACUCCAACUAAGGUUCUGGGGUUGGAUUCUCUUUGUGGACUUCAGUUCAGAACACCAUUUGCUUGUGUUUAUUGCUUGCAUGAUUUGUUUUUUUCUCUCCGUACAUUGGGUGUUUGGCGUUUUUUUAAAAAUGGGUUCUUUUGGGUUUCUUCAUUUCCAGGCUGCCUUUUAAGAGAUGAAUUUCAAGUUUGUAUAAUGUGUACAUCUUUGAUAAUAAAU